rnacentral:sRNA from 1 species
GCCAGGAGUGGUGGGGCACGCCUGUAAUCUCAGCUACUUGGGAGGCUGAGAUAAGAGGAUCAAAAGUUAGAAGUCAGCCUGGGCAAUUUGAUGAAACCAUGUCUCAA